GAGAUGCCAGGAAAGAAUGCGAUCAGGCAGGACGGAUUGCUCGCGGGAGAGCGAACAAAUUAGAAAAUCACGAUUAUGAGGUCAGGCGGUAUCGGUGGAAAGGAAUGGUGCCCGAUUUGUCGCGACACGUCCCGGCUGAAUCCGGAUCCGUGGAAUCAUGAAAACUGGAUCGACCGGCUGCGGUCAACGCUAGUUGCUCUCGUAACUUUCCAUCGGUGUGGCUAUACGAAAAUUUCCGGCAAACAGGGCCAGAACCGUCCGGAAAUAAAAAUUUAGCCAUUCUGGUUCUCCGAAAUACGACACGAAAUAUUUCUUCCUCUCGUGAAAGUUCCAUUCGAUCCUCGAACUCUAGCUAGCUCGAAAUACCUCUACAAAAAAAAAAAGAAAGAAACAAAAAUGAAAUAUUCAUAUUCAUUAGAAGCUUGUUCAUAACUGAUAAAUAAUUACCUAAGAGAUAUUCUUUAAAUAUCAGGAAUAUUUGAAAUGAUAACUGAGAUGAAGAGAUUGCUGGAUGUUCGUUAAAUGGUACCAAAAUCUCAGAGUAGAUCUCGACCUCGACUUUCACCCUCGUCCAAGGUCUAGGACACUCAAAAUCUUGUAACUUCAACAGUUACCUUAUUACUAUUCAGUAAUAUCAUUGAAAUGCAGAUGAAAUGAAGUUGAAGAAAUAAGGUAGAAGAUGAACGAGAAUGCAUUACGUGAAAGUAAAUCGUGAUCGAUUCACGAUCAUCAAUCAUUGCGUAAAGAAAUCCAUCACAGAUCAUUUACUUAUUACAUAUCAUUCUGAUUUCUCUGCUUCCUGCUAACUGAAACGAGGUCCUUCGUCCAGCGUAACAACUUUUUCCGUUUUCUUUUUCUCGGCAUUGACGAAAGACAGACGAAUGGGGUCAAAUCCUGUCGAUUUUUUCUUACAACAAAGGAAAUUGCGCUAUAUCGAACUCCGUGUGCGUCACAGCGUGUUAAAAGUAUUAAAAAAAUGAAAAAUGGGAUAUAAAUAUGAAUCAGCAUCCCGUGGGUCUUGAAUUCUGCAUCGCGGUUUCACUUUCACCGUUUCAAACGGCAUGCUGUAAUUUCGACUCAGGAUGCAUGGUGUUUUCUCCUUUGUUUAAAAAAAACUCUUCUUCAACAUGAAACCAGACGGAAUGUGAAAUUUCAAUAAUUGGAGAACGUUACAAACUUUUCAUAAUACCUGUAAAAAAAGGAACACAAUAAAUAAAAAAAAAAAUC